AGUUCCACGGGAUCCACGCCGCGCGUGACGACGAGAUAGUCACGCAUCACCGUUGAAUGCCGCAUCUC
rnacentral:sRNA from 1 species